CUGGAGGUAUCAGAAGUGCGAAUGCUGACAUAAGUAACGAUAAAGCGGGUGAAAAGCCCGCUCGCCGGAAGACCAAGGGUUCCUGUCCAACGUUAAUCGGGGCAGGGUGAGUCGACCCCUAAGGCGAGGCCGAAAGGCGUAGUCGAUGGGAAACGGGUUAAUAUUCCCGUACUUGGUGUUACUGCGAAGGGGGGACGGAGAAGGCUAUGUUGGCCGGGCGACGGUUGUCCCGGUUUAAGCGUGUAGGCUGGUUUUCCAGGCAAAUCCGGAAAAUCAAGGCUGAGGCGUGAUGACGAGGCACUACGGUGCUGAAGCAACAAAUGCCCUGCUUCCAGGAAAAGCCUCUAAGCAUCAGGUAACAUCAAAUCGUACCCCAAACCGACACAGGUGGUCAGGUAGAGAAUACCAAGGCGCUUGAGAGAACUCGGGUGAAGGAACUAGGCAAAAUGGUGCCGUAACUUCGGGAGAAGGCACGCUGACACGUAGGUGAAGUGAUUUACUCACGGAGCUGAAGUCAGUCGAAGAUACCAGCUGGCUGCAACUGUUUAUUAAAAACACAGCACUGUGCAAACACGAAAGUGGACGUAUACGGUGUGACGCCUGCCCGGUGCCGGAAGGUUAAUUGAUGGGGUCAGCGCAAGCGAAGCUCCUGAUCGAAGCCCCGGUAAACGGCGGCCGUAACUAUAACGGUCCUAAGGUAGCGAAAUUCCUUGUCGGGUAAGUUCCGACCUGCACGAAUGGCGUAAUGAUGGCCAGGCUGUCUCCACCCGAGACUCAGUGAAAUUGAACUCGCUGUGAAGAUGCAGUGUACCCGCGGCAAGACGGAAAGACCCCGUGAACCUUUACUAUAGCUUGACACUGAACAUUGAGCCUUGAUGUGUAGGAUAGGUGGGAGGCUUUGAAGUGUGGACGCCAGUCUGCAUGGAGCCGACCUUGAAAUACCACCCUUUAAUGUUUGAUGUUCUAACGUGGACCCGUUACCCGGGUUGCGGACAGUGUCUGGUGGGUAGUUUGACUGGGGCGGUCUCCUCCUAAAGAGUAACGGAGGAGCACGAAGGUUGGCUAAUCCUGGUCGGACAUCAGGAGGUUAGUGCAAUGGCAUAAGCCAGCUUGACUGCGAGCGUGACGGCGCGAGCAGGUGCGAAAGCAGGUCAUAGUGAUCCGGUGGUUCUGAAUGGAAGGGCCAUCGCUCAACGGAUAAAAGGUACUCCGGGGAUAACAGGCUGAUACCGCCCAAGAGUUCAUAUCGACGGCGGUGUUUGGCACCUCGAUGUCGGCUCAUCACAUCCUGGGGCUGAAGUAGGUCCCAAGGGUAUGGCUGUUCGCCAUUUAAAGUGGUACGCGAGCUGGGUUUAGAACGUCGUGAGACAGUUCGGUCCCUAUCUGCCGUGGGCGCUGGAGAACUGAGGGGGGCUGCUCCUAGUACGAGAGGACCGGAGUGGACGCAUCACUGGUGUUCGGGUUGUCAUGCCAAUGGCACUGCCCGGUAGCUAAAUGCGGAAGAGAUAAGUGCUGAAAGCAUCUAAGCACGAAACUUGCCCCGA
rnacentral:rRNA from 1 species